AUGAACGCUGGCGGCGUGCCUAAUACAUGCCAGUCGAGCGAACAGACGAGGAGCUUGCUCCUCUGACGUUAGCGGCGGACGGGUGAGUAACACGUGGAUAACCUACCUAUAAGACUGGGAUAACUUCGGGAAACCGGAGCUAAUACCGGAUAAUAUAUUGAACCGCAUGGUUCAAUAGUGAAAGACGGUUUUGCUGUCACUUAUAGAUGGAUCCGCGCCGCAUGAGCUAGUUGGUAAGGUAACGGCUUACCAAGGCAACGGUGCGCAGCCGGCCGGAGAGGGGGAUGGGCCACACUGGAACUGAGACACGGUCCAGACUCCUACGGGAGGCAGCAGUAGGGAAUCUUCCGCAAUGGGCGAAAGCCUGACGGAGCAGCGCCGCGUGAGUGAUGAAGGUCUUCGGAUCGUAAAACUCUGUUAUUAGGGAAGAACAAAUGUGUAAGUAACUAUGCACGUCUUGACGGUACCUAAUCAGAAAGCCACGGCUAACUACGUG
rnacentral:rRNA from 1 species